CGGACGGGUGAGUAAUGCCUAGGAAUCUGCCUGGUAGUGGGGGACAACGUUUCGAAAGGAACGCUAAUACCGCAUACGUCCUACGGGAGAAAGCAGGGGACCUUCGGGCCUUGCGCUAUCAGAUGAGCCUAGGUCGGAUUAGCUAGUUGGUGGGGUAAUGGCUCACCAAGGCGACGAUCCGUAACUGGUCUGAGAGGAUGAUCAGUCACACUGGAACUGAGACACGGUCCAGACUCCUACGGGAGGCAGCAGCC
rnacentral:rRNA from 1 species